CCCACGUACUCACGCCGUCUCCGGCAACAAGAUGAUGAGACGCGCUCGCGCCCGCACCCUGCAUGCAAUUGCUGUCUCCGACGACAAGAUGGUGAGCCGCGCUCGCGCCCCCACCCUUCAUGCAAACCCUUUCUUCGAUGACAAGAUGGUGAGCCGCACUCGCUUCCCCCUCUCCUACUAGUGAUUUGAAGUUAACCGGUGCCUAAUGAUUCGAAGUUAUUGACAAUCUUUGAUCUAGUCAUUUGAAUUAGUACUAGUGCUUACUGAAUUACCUGAUGUGUAUGUGCAAGAACUACGUGGUGAUUAUAUGUCCUUGGACUUUCUAAUCGCUGGGUUCUCUUGUGGCAGAUGGAUGGGAAAAAUGAGAUGGCGCUGGUCCAGGGGGUGACGCCCAUGCGGGGGAGCACCGCGGCUUCAAGCUCAGUUGGUAAGUACUCCAUACUGGUUUUUCUGUGAGUAUCACGCCUAUUUUUUUGUCAUCAUUAGUAUAAUGAUAGUGGACUGAAGCUGGUCAGCUCUUUCCAUGCUGGAUUUUUGGCAUCGUUAGUAUACUGAUAUUGGACUGAAGCUGCUUAGCUCUUUCCAUGCUAGAUUUUGGCAUCAUUAGUAUAUUGAUAUUGGACUGAAGCAUGUUAGCUCUGUCCAUGCUCGGUUUUUUUUCAUCAUUAGUAUAGUGAUAUAUUGGACUGAAGCUGCACAUGUUUUGUUUCCAUUAACGUUGGUCUAGCGGUGCUACACAUCAGUAGGCCGAUCAUGGCCGCCAUACAUGCUUGAUUUUAAUCAAGUUCCACCCAGUUGGUUUUGUCACCAGACGCGUAUACAAAUGCGAGCACCGGCACUAUGUUGCAGCAUGGAAGACAUAUGAACUGUAAUAAGAAACAUGCAAUGGCUAGAAACAUCUCAUUACGAUUUUUUUGGCACGUUAUAGGUGUCAAUGAAAUUAGUCAGCUUGCCAGCCGUCGGAUCUGACACGUGGAGCAUUGGAUCACACCACAUGGCAGCAGAGAGAGUGGAACCUGUCUUCCUCCCUAGCCUCCACAAAACCUGUGUAUCCCCCACCCCUCCCCAUCGUUGCAACAGACUAUUGUGUCAGCCCCAUGGAGCACCUCAUGUCCAUGCUCUGGCGCAUACCUGAUGUCGCCUGGUAUCCUGCAAGCACUAUUACAGCGCGUCGGCGAGGAACAGUGUCAUACAACCGAGGUAGUUGAUGCGACCACAACCCUCACCCCUUUGUCGCAUUGGCUUGUGGCACUAGUAAUCGGCUAAAACACCCCCCGUGAGAACCUGCGGUUGCACCACUGCGAACUAUGCAGCGUAGGAAAUGUUGCAACAACCCCGUGGGUGUGUGCAUGGUGGAAAUAGACCGGAUGGAUAUGGUGAAGAGAGAGGAAUACAAGUGAGGGGCAUCUGGCGCUAGAGCGAGCUGACUCAUUUCCUCCUGAAACCAGUCUGUUGGAUAUAAUUCCAUUUUCUUUUUGGAAACCUCAUAAAACCGUUGCAAGAUGCGAGCAUGUCUAUACAAAAUAUAGUAGAUAUAGAACACAUACUCAUUAACUGCAACAAAUUAGUGAAAAAACACAAUGUAUAUAUGCCUGAACCGAUGGAUCAUUGCCAUGCAUCUUCCAACUCUUCCUUGGUUAGGCCCACCCGCGAACCGGACAAUUCUGUCACAGAUCAUUGUCUUAUCAACCACCAACUUGAUUCUUCCUCUCGUCUCCUCUCCCCACCCUUCACAACAUACACCCAUGUUUCUCAGCAAUAGACCCACUUGGAGGCCACAAUGGUGGCCAUGGUAGGCUAGUGAAAAGCACAAUGGUGGUCGGUCUUACAACACUAAACACAACAUUGCAACACGUGAUAACCCCAUUUUUAUAGCGCCGGUGCACCAUUUUGUGGAAAAGAAAAAAAUGCUAAUGACCUGCCAUGUUGCAUCGAUGCCUUGGACUUGCAGCAUUGCCAACCACCUUGUAGCAAUGAAAAGUUCACUGACCACUAGCUUUGCAGCAUCACAUGACCGGCUUCUAGCACUGAACACCCGGGCUAGCAGCACUGCGAUGAGCGAUGGUCAGCCUUGCAACAGUAUUGGUUGACAUUGCACACCACAUCUCCAUUUUUAUGUACAUACACAUGAGUGAACUUGGAACAUCAGUAACGUAUCAACAAUAGCAAUAUUGACGAGGAUGAAAUUUGAUUCCCCAAGAAUCAACAUUGCUGAAUAAGCGAGCAACUGCACAUCCACCCCAUGAGCCAUACUUUUUGAGCACUGCCACAACCGAUUAUACUAGAUUAAAAUGUACAUGAUCACAAUAGAUUAAAUGGCAGGGAGGGCGGACUGCAUGUGUUGAAUCAGGCUAGUCGCGUGGUCACAGGUGCCUUGUCUGACUAGCCAACAAGAUAGAAGGAGGCCGGCUGGGUUCUCAUUCGUGAAGCUAAGCAUAAAUCCAACUCCAGACACGCUCGGGGGCUACUGAAGGUGCAAUACACUAGGGGUGUCCUCUAAGUGGGAAGCCCGGUAGCAAACCUAUCUCAAGGCCCAAGAGGCAAGUCGAGGAUCUACGCAUGCAUGACACCGAAUAAGGUCCAAGAGAGCAUCUGGGCGUGCAAGCAAACAUGGCGAUGGUAUGAGAACUGGUGGAUUCCUUGUAAUCCCUAGCCCUCGUCACCUAUAUAAGGCAGGCCUAGGGGUUAUCAUUCACAUAUACUCUCCUGGACUAUACUCUCAGUAGCCUUAUACUUCAUCUCCGUUGAAAACCCCUCGCACAAGGUGCUUCACCAUGAAUAAAAAUCAGAUACAGGAUGUAGGGUAUUACCUCUCACUCAGGGCUCGAACCUGGAUAAAACCGUUGUGCCAACUCCCUUCUAUUACAUACGGCGCGUUCACCACCCUAUUAUGGGUACUAACAGCUUGCAAACCAUCGCUUUAAGUUCCGACACAUUUUCUCUGGGAGUUGAAAGCAACUCAUGGUGUAAGUAUGUGUUGCUUGAAGCACUGAUUUUACUAGCACCUCCUUUCCCGCCUUCGGGAUACCUUGUCCUUCCUAUCCAACCAAUUCGCCAUUUGAGUUUUCUCUAACAUAUUUAAAAUUUGCUUCCUUUGACCUACUCACCAAGGUUGGGAGCCCCAAAUAAUGCUCGCUCAAUGCCUUGGGAUUAGUGCAAAAAUAUUUAAAACAACUUUUUCCUCCUAUUUGCUUCCCUUUCCACAGAAAGAUGAUGCUUUUUGAAGAUUUGCCAUUUGUCCUAAGGCCAACUCGUAGUCAAACAGGAUCUAUUUUUAGGUCACAAAGUUGAUAUUUGAUGCUUGAAGAAAUAAUACACUAUCAUCUGCAAACAUAAGAUGGGCUACAUGGGGGCCAGUGCUCCCAAAAUGUACACAUUGAUCUCCUUAUCUUUGAGAAUUCAUGAGCAAUGCAAAAAAUAAACAAAUAGGGGGAUUGUGGGUCUCCUUGUCAGAUCCCUCUUGAUAGUGUAAAACUGAUAGAGCAACCUCCAUUCAAUUUGACAGAAAUCCUGGUCGGGGUAACAGAUGUCAUAGUUAUCAAGAUCCGGCUAUUUGAGAAACCAAGUGCCCUCAUCAUCAGAUUGUGGAAAAUCCAAAACACCCUCUUGUACUUUAAUAGCUAACAUUGGAUCUUUCUAUUAGUUGACCUGAUUGCAUGCAAACACACUCAUAUGUGACCAAUACAUUGUCUGUGAUAAGCCUACCAGGAAUAAUAUACUUUGUUCCUCCGAGAUCAUUAUGGACAGGAGAACCUUCAAACUAUUCGCUAGGCCUUUGAAGCAAUAUGACUGAGUGUAUUCUAUAAGCUCAUUGAUACAAUUUGACGAAGUAUCUCCAGUGAGUUAAUUUUUAGGAUUGGGACUAGAACCGUAUCACUGAAGUUUGCCGAUGCACCGACUCCUUUAUAAAAAUCCCCUACUACUAUGCGUACAUCACUUUUUUAGCAACGACUAAUGAAAUUGGUAAACAUAGUCGAGAGGUUGUCUGGCCCAGCGCUUUUUUCAGUCCAGUUUAGAAUGGUGCAUUCUCAAUUUCUUCAUCCAUCACAUCCGCGUUCACCCUCUCCCCCAUAUCAUUAAUCACACAUGGUUUUAUGUCAGCUAAGAUGUGGUCAGCUUCAGCAGAGCCUUCUGAAGAAAACAACUAAGCACAGAAAUCAACCGACAUCUUCCCCAUCUCUUUGUCAAUAGUACAACUCGUUCCAUCCGUGCUGAUGUUUUGUUCGUCUUCCUCAAGCUAUUUCAGUCGAGCAUGUUGCAUAUACAUUAUUUCUUCCCAGGCAUGAACCAAAUGAAGCUACGCUUCAAUCUAACGGAUCUCCACAAAGGAUCUGGAUCCUAACGCUCUCUCAUUUCCAUCGAAGCUGACCUUGUGCCUAGUGAUGUCAGAACAUACGAAGCAAAACACUGAGCCACUCCAAUGUUGCAUAUCAUUGGUGAUAUUGUUAAGCUUCCCGUACAACACACUCUGGCCGAAUUUUUAUCAAAUGCACACACCCAAGCAUCCAUGGAGCAUCCGCCUCUCCUCAAAUGUUAACGCUCUCUUCUUCCUUGUGGUAAUGACAAGUUUGUCUAGCGCUCUAAUAAUGAGUGAAGCAUGGUCUGGUCCUCCAUGUGAACAUGUUCAAUCCGUGGUGAAUCAACUGGGCAGGCUUUACCAGGCUUGAGCCUACCCUCAGCGACCAAAAGAAAAUUUUGGUAGUUAAUAGUGCAUGCUUCUAGUAGUAUUCUAGCAAAUUUUAACCUUGUUUGCACAAAAGAGCUGGGAGUUAGUGACUUUUUUUCACAUCAUUAACUUUGAGCCCCCCCUUGAUUUUAUUACAAGGUUCGCCACUAUGUUCAAUGGAUGUAUCCUAGAACGAAUGCAUGAAAUCAUCAUUGCAUGGACCCCUGUCCGGAUGUACCUAAAUGUUCUCAUCAUCAUCCCUUUUGUUGUCCCGUCUGUAUACAUAGCUACUAAAACAGAGGUUUGAAAAGCUGUUAUUGGCUACCUUCUUCCUAAUGUGCUCCAUUUGUGUGAAACUCCUAAAGUAAUCUCCUAGUUGUUGUGAUUGAAAGAAUACUUUGUUUUGGUAUCACUGUCAUAGAUAAAUUUAUUAUCAGGAUCUAGUCUCUCGAAACCUCCCUUAGCUACACAAAUUUGCUUCAAUCUCUCCUCCUAUCCAGUAGCUUUAGCUGAUAAUCCUUGUGAUGCCUUUGUUGAUCAUCACCACCCUUCCUCGUCUAAUGAACAAAAGUGCCUCGUCUGCGUUGCGUGGAGGUAGAUGGGUCUUCUUUGCCCAGUCACCUUGCACCCUUUCCCGUAUAAAUUUUUUAUGUCCUCCAUCCUUUCAUGCUCCUUCCUCAGCUCCCACAUCCUUUUUAGUUGCAAAUCAUCCCUUAGUUCACUUUCAUGUCACCGAUCUUGCUUGCAUUGGUCCUUCCUGUGUGUAUAAUCAUUGUAGCACUUGUGCCUAAAUGGGAGGUCGGGCAACGCUGCAUACUCCCUGUGAACAUAGAUGCACUUUCUUGACCUAGUGCUCCCAAGCUCCCACUUUCUUGACCUAGGAGCUAUGAUCGAGUGAUGCCCUGAAGCAUUCACCCAACUGGGGUGAGGAAUCAACAUGUGGUUCAAAUCUUGCAUCAGCAUGUGCUAGUCUAUCGCAGUCAAUCCACAAGUGAUGUAUAUUCUCAAAUUGAAAAUCAAGACAGUCCCCUCGUCUUUCACUGAAGAGUGGAGGAAGAAGCCUCGGACCAGUGAAACGAAUAUGAAAAUUCUAGCUCUAACUAUGAGAUGGUCCCCCCCCCCCAUAAAUCCAUCCUUCUCGAGAGCGUUCCCAAAAGUAGAUAAUGGUUUAUAGGGGAAGAUCCUUAAUUAUCACCCAUUACUCCAUGAUACAAAACAUUAUCUUUGAAAAACUAGUUUUACCAUCAUAAUCCUUCAAAACCAUCACACUAAAACCAAAUUUCCACAGUCCAUUAUAUAGAGCAUGCUUUUAGACUCCGUUUUGUCGAAUCUCAAGACGGAGAUAUUAUUGCCAAUGUGACUUAUCUGGGCUUCCUAGUAGAGUCCCCAUGCCUAUUGCAUAGCCUUAACAAACACAUUGAUGUUUAUUUGCAGAAGUGAGCACACCUUUCCAACAGCUGGCCACUUAGUAGGCCUGGGUUGGUCUAGAAUCCUGAUCCCAAACAUGAGGCAUAUUAGUUCCUUUUUGUCAAGUUCAAGGCUCCUUGUUUGGUUGAGAGAUGUGCUGCCUCCUGGAAGCAUUUUCGUCUGUCCGGGACUUUGAAGAUUCUCGGCUUAUCGAUCGUUUGUCGCACGGUUCAUGGACUUUGAAGAUUCUCGAAUUGUCAACUUACAGAUCCAUGCCACGCCAUGAUCUCCCAUCAUCGACCCGUAGAUGAAUAAAACCCUAACACUAGUACUAGUUGUCGGUCCCCUAUAGUCGACCUUAGCAUUUCCUUUCAUGGUGGGCCCACCACCAGCUAUUCCUCUCGGUCCUUCCCUUGGUACUUUUUCUGCGGUGGAGCCUUUGUGCUUCAUUUGGCUUUCUACAAUGGUGGAUGUAUCCAGCUCAUAAGUCUCCUCUAUCUAUAGGAAGCUAGUUUACAAGUUUCAUUCGAAAGAAGUCUUGUCGCAUGUAAAGACAUCACUAAGAGUGUGAUACAUAUAGGUGCAUACUUUGCGGAUGAUGGAAAUUUCAGCAGAUAUGAACAGCUCCAGGCGAGCACACAAACAAAUCAUCGACCAGAAAUGAUUCAUUUCCAAAGAAACAAAGUCGCAAAAAGAGAGACACGACAUUAUCUUCUUUAUGGAAAACACUUCUAUAUUUAAAUGUUGCUUUGCUCUUUGAUUAUUAAUAGGAAUCUUUUUACUAAUAUACUAAGUGUAAAUAUUUAUAGAUAUGGAAGGCAUUUUGUUUAGUAGGUUUUACUGAAUCAUACUCCCUCCGUUCCUAAAUAUAUAAGUCUUUUUAGAGAUUCCAAUGCGGACUACAUACAGAGUAAAAUGAUUGAAUCUACACUCUAAAAUAUGUGUAUAUAGAUCCGUAAAUAGUCUUUCUUGAAAUCUCUAAAAAGACUUAUAUUUAGGAAUGGAGGGGCCAUCGGUUUAUGGUAUGUUGAAAUUAGAAGAAGUUCAUGCGCCUUCAAGGCAUGUCACGGUUUGUUGUUCCACCUCAAACGGGGACAUACUACAUGGUUAUUCUCCCUGCAUAUGGCCCCUCUCCGCAUGCUCUUCCUCUCUCUCUCUCUCUCUCUCUCUCUCUCUCUCUCCAUUGUAUAUUCCAUAAUUGCUGACACGACUCCAUAAUGCCUAAUUGGUGAAGCUCCAAGAACACCUAGCAGUGAUGGGUUCAACACGCGUAAGUAGUCUAUACUUAGUGGAGAACUAACAAACCACUUAGAUGAAUGCGUCCGCCAGUGGUGGUCAAAUCAGAUAAGAAAUUCGGGCCAUGACCAGUCCAAAUCCGACACCUGCCAAUAAUGUGUACUCUCCACUACUCGAACCUUCUUCUCCUCAAUAUAUUGCACCGCCUGAUGUUUGGAGAAGCCAUAGAGUUGGGGAUCGGAAUAGAGGAAACAAUGGUGGGGAGUGUCUUUAAGAAUAGGAACCGAGAAUCCGGACGGUGAAGGCCUCGACCCUACUGCACCAUCGGCCCAUGAGCACUAACCCGUAUAUAUUGUGCAAGGACCGAGGCAGAAGUGAACACAAUCAUCACCUGGGUGGCAUAGGGAGUUGGACCUGGGUGUUCCUCCUCUCAAGCUAACUCAAUGAACUCUUGGAGGCAGCACCGAUGCGAGAUUCUGUAGAGAUGACAACAUUUUGAGGAGGUGGAGGGCCAGAUCAAGGUUUCUUCCUCAAAUGGUUUAUUUUCAGGGAAGAGGGGGAAGGGUAUGACAUGAUGAGCGAUUAACAAGGGAAGUGUGUGUGUCUGUGGAGGAUAAAUCAUGAAGACAAGUCUGCUAGUAGCUAGAGAAGGGACAAAUGAUAGCAGGAACGAAUAAUGAUCUUACCUUGUGGGGCUACUAGUUUUAAGUUGUGAACUAAAUGACAGGGUAAUGAUUUAGUCACUAUCGUGCUGUGACUUGGGAUUGUAAGUGGUGGGUUGUAUAUGACUAACAAGUAGCAUGCUUAGCCUCAAUAUUGUCCUCUAUCACUGGUAACAAUGUAUCAUUGAUGGACCACAUAUUGGGCCCAUCACUACUACCUUUUAAAAAAAAGAUUUUUAGUUGUCAUCAGAUUCACGACAAUCCCGCCAUCCAUUACUACAAAGUAGCACUACUGAUGGGUUAUGUGACCCACCACUAUUGAUCAAUAACUAGAGGAUAACUCUAGCAUAGUGCUCAUCCGUUUCUUUGAGAUUUUAUUAGUGUUUUCUUGUUCACGAAGACAUAUCAAUUGACCCUAACAAGUUUUCUCUUUAGGUGUGGUUGAGAGUGCAAACACGGGGAGCUUGAAAGCAGGGAAAAUGGCACCUAGAGUGGUCCAGGUCUCCAUGAUGAACAACCACAACUUUGAUUUGAAUGAGCUGUCGGCUGAACAUGAGCAGCCCGAGGAGAAGGAGUAGCCGCGUGUGGCACAACAUGAGCUUUGAUAUUCACAACGGCUGGAGGCUGCUCAAAUCUGCAUCUAUGAGAAAAAAUGACUCUUCGCCAAAAGCAUAGCCCUGUCGGAAAUUAUCAAAACUAUCCCUUUCCUGAGGAUAAUGGGAAGGCUUGUUUGGAACUUUUAAAUUUCUCGCUUCCUACUUUUUUGCAAUUGACUAACAUUAUUGCUAAACUUGAGGGAGGGAGUCGGUAUACUGCAUCAUGAUCACCCUAUCCACUUGAAAUGGCCUUUCUAUUCAUUUCCCAUGAUGGUUUUGGUAUCUAGAUUGUUUCAACAAGAAUAUAUUCAUAUGGUAAAGCUUUGUGAAACAUUAGCGAUGGAGCUAGGUCUCAGGUCGUGUGAAAAUACAGUAAGUCAAGAAGUGUGUUAGCUCAUGAGAUAAUAUACUUUUGAAGUUGGUCAUCAUGUGUGUUGACACAAUGGGUAGUAUGAGAGAAGUUUGGCAUGCAUCUUUGGGUUUGAAACGAGUUGUCUAAUUGGACCUUCAUAUGGCCGAAAAAGGGAGAAAACAUGGCUAAUAGGAUGCACAAAUGAUAUGGAAGGUAAUUGUUGGAUGGAAGUUAACUAUAGCUAUCCAACCACACAAAAUGUUUGUUGACCCGCGUCCUUACGUAUCGAGGUUGACUUCAUGUGCAAACUAGAUUGUGACUAAAUUAUGGCAUAUAUAUGUAAUAACUUGGCAUCUGACCAAGCACAAAACACCCCAAAAACACUAUUUACUUCUCUUUGAUGCAUAUUCUAGUGGAAGGGUAGUCAUAACCAUAUGGGGAUAUUUUUCCACAAUAGAAUCUAUAAUGUUCUAGCGAGGCAUGCGUAAAUGGAGAGGAUAAUAGGCAAACAUGGAAACAUCCAACAUUGUGUUGUACUUGCAACUAGUUGUAUAGUGAGAUAAUAUGGAAACGGAGGAGGCUUAUAGGGCAACACGAGAACACCCAACAUGUUUCUCUACUUGCUUCCUAUUGCUACCAAGAGACUGAGACUAGAGAAAGGUUAAUCAUAACACAUGGACAAGAUCUCUCAUACAAGUUGAAAAUGGAAUGAAUCUUGUAUGAAAAUGCUAACCAAGUAUGAGUGUGCAUAACAUACCAUCUCCUCCCUUUCUUGUUGUAUUUUCCUUCACCAACCCCAUAGUACCCUCAUCGACACUAUUAAUUCAAUAUGCUUCUCAUAUGAUUUAGAAUUGUGAUUGGGAGAUAAUUGGAUCAUUAUCUAGGUAGACUUCUUCAAGGGGCAAUAAUGGAGGUGUCUUAUCUAUUAUAGCCACAUUCCGGAUAGGAAUAAAAAAGUAGACAUAACCUGAUAAUUUGUUCAGAUUGGAAUCCAGGAUUCAACAUACAUCAACUAUCCUACAUGUAAAUCAAAUCCUCAUCCUACAUCGGCAUUGUGCUUUAGUUGGACUACCACUUUAUGGACAAGCUGCAUGGUCCAUGUGGUCUAUGUCGCGAAGGAUAGAGGACAAUCAGCAAAGAGUUGUCGAUGAUUGGUCAUUGAAGUUAUUUCUCAAGAAAUUUCCUUGCCAACAUGGUUCAUUUAAUUCAUUAUUUAUUAUUUUUUAUCGGUCUAUGCUCUAAUGUGUAACCUUCUUCCCACGAUUUGGGUCUAGCUAUCGGUGGUCAUGAGUUCAUUACUUAUGUUAACUACUAUUGUUGUGUCCACUUGUUCGCCAAGAGACUAUAAAGUUAAAUUAUAUGCUCAUGUAUUUAUAUUAAUAUAGUUGGCGGUGAGGUAAUCAUUAACCUUGUAUGUUACUCACAUUUGUCAAAUAGGAGGCCAAGCUGGAACUGUCUGGUGCAUCAUAUAUGGUCACAUAUGGUGUAUUGCCUAUUCUAGACCCGAUGUGUAUUACAUAAUAGCAUGUGCCUGCGGGGAGGAACGAGUCACUCUUUUGUGUCAAGGGGAGACGGCAUGCCUAAUAAUUGACAAUGAAAAAUUAAUCGCCUAAUCAAAAGCCUAACCCAAGACAGUGAAUAUGUGCCAUUGUAAUUGUACCACACUAAGUCAUCGGUAUUUCAUAAUGGAAUGUUCCCGAUAUCGUGACUUUUGAUGGUGAUAAGCCCAAAUAAUCACCAUUGUGAAAUUAAAUUCCUCCCUUGAGUUCAACCCAUAUCCGUAAAGAUGUGCCACUACAAUCCACCUCAUGGCUAUCUUGGACUCCUUAAUCUAAUCAAGUGUGCCCAAUAUGGUAACUUGAUAAUCACAUAUACUAAUGGGGAGGGGAUAUGUCACAUUUUUUUGCCAUGGAGACAUGAUAUUCCGUACUAAUUGACCCUAAGAAGCUAAUCGCCUCCAUCAUUACCAUCAAGACCCCUUCCUGGUUGUCCUAUAACUGGAUUCCGCAAAACCACGAGAAUCCUUGGAAUGGGAUUACAAAUUAGCACCUUUUGUUUUCACAUAGUAAAAAUAGUUGCUCCUUGGAGAGCACCGUACGAUGAAAGUUGUAACCCGUGUUUCAGAGGGAGUUAUUGUCUCAAAACUUUGUUCUCAACUAUUCUGAUUCCAGCAAACGGAGGCCAUUGGGUCAAAGCUGUAGCGCAUGCCUUGUAGUUUUGAAGUGGGGAGAGACAACUUUAGCUAGGAACCUAUUUUCCUUCUGACCAGCUCCCUAAAAACAAUGUUCAACUUCAUGUGUAGUCGAUGUAGAUGUGUCACUGCAAUUGCACCACUAGGAUAUCACCAAGUCCUAUGUAUUACAUGACAACAUAUGCCGCCAUACGAUGACUUGAUAAAUUUAAUGCAUUUCACAAAGCUUUUAUGUUCCAAUUAUAGUGAAGAUAGUGACUCACAUGUCAGCCUCCCUAACGGGAAGCAAAAUCACUCUGACUUUGGCAACCUGAUUAUUUGAUCAAUUCAGAAUAGGAGUCUUGGAGACACCCAUGUCAAUAAUGUGAAAUUAUAGGAAAUAUUAUUAUGUGCAUCAACAUGAACCAAAACUCGUGGCUUAAGAGAUAAGUGUACAAUCUUCCAAUGGUUAUGCCCCCUACUAAAUUCAUGAUGUUAACCAGUUCCCAGAAGUUUAAGUUGAGAAACAAGUUUGGGCAACAUAUUUCGAGACACCUAUCAUGCCUAGUAUUGUCUGAAGCCUAGGUAAGCUUAGUCAUGGGCAACAUUGACCCGGUUCUUAACUCAUGUCCUCCUUGCUUGAUACCAUAUUGAAUGGCAAGUACAUAAUCAAUUUACUUUAGUGGGUGAAGAUUGUUGGCUAGUAUAUUUCAAAACUCACCUCACACGCAUCUUUUAGGGGCAUAUAGUGCAUUGUGAUGGAAACAUUUUUUCUAUAGACUAAAUUCCAAUGGAAAUUUUUAAUUAAUUUAGUAGCAAUCUUGUAUGACAAGGAUAUAUGGCAAAUGAAAAGGAGGGCUCAAAUGCUACUUGUUGGCACACCCAAUUAAAGUUGUCUUUUUCCUCCCAUGUUGAUCCUCCGUGGUUCGACAUUGGGAAUUACACAGACUAGAUCUACCAGACCGUGGAUGUUCCGCCGUGAACGUCCAUAUGGUCCAAUGAGUGAUAGCGGCGUAUAUAGAACAUAUAGUAGACACCGUUAAAGUGAUUAAAUGUGCUAUUUUUCCUACUAUGAAAAAAUAGUAUUUUAAAGAGAAAAUUAUGUAAGGGUUUGUGAUCUUUGUAUGUAAAAGCAUUAUUUUCCUUUGCUUGGUAUUCACACAGUUUGAUUUAUGGCAAAAAUGGAAAAUCAUGGGACAAUAAUUAUUGAUAUUCUUUGUGGGAAGGCGAGAUGUUUUCACUUUUCAGAUCACACAAACUAUCAUUUUCUUAUAGGAGUGACAUACAGUGUUCUAAAUCUGCAUUUGUAAUUCGUUGUCCAUUUAAAUUUGGUUUCUUCCAUAGAUUAUGUUGGUUUGUUGCUGUAUUUAUCUCAGCACUAAUGUAUACUGAUGUUAGCUAAGUCCAAUCAAAAGUUGAUGUUUCCAUAAUGUUAUACAAAUUAGUAAUCUAUGUACUGACCAAAGUCAAGUUACAGAAGCCUAAACCAUGUGAAAUACACAUCAUGCAGUACACAUGUUCAUCUUAGUGUUAUGUUAUACUUGGAUCCCAGAUAACAAAUGUUAUCAAUUAUUACUAUCUUUUGCAGCUUGUUUCUGCCUAUUCAUUGUAGAAUUAUCUUAUGUAGUCUCCCAAGGUUCACGCAACUUGGAUUUUCAUACUUUGGUAGUACUAGUGUUCACUAGGUCUAGGUGCCACUCUGUAGAAGCUGGGGAUACAGAUGGAGAAAGUAGUCAUGGUUUUUUUUCAAAAACUUUGUUCAUAUAUAUAACAGGUUUAUUAAUUUAUAGUGUAUAGUGUUGUGAAACCUAGAGUGUUCUCUCUCAUUUAACAUUGAACUAUGCUUGCAAGGAAAAACCUUCAUUUGACAUCAAACUAUGCAUGCAGGGCAAACACUCCGUGCAUCGGUGCCACCACGCCGCGAACCUUGGGAGCUUGAACCUGGAUGGGUGUGAACUUAUGAUUGAUGUCAAGGUUAGGGGUCAGUCAUGGAUUGAGAAUAAAGGGGACUUUGCGAACUAUUAUUAAUAAUAUGGAUGAAACAUUGCCUUGUAGAGAGAAUAAGAGAUUUCGAGAGAUAUUUAUAAAUGGAUGCAUAAUUGCAAUAUUAGUACGAAAUAUGAUGCUAACAUUUUAUUUUCAUUGUUGUUCGCAUUAAACUUCACGUGAUGGCUCCAUUAUUCACAGCCUCGAGCAUGAAAAUGUUAUUUCAUUCGGGUAAAUGGUGUGUGUCGUUGCUCCUGUAGUU
rnacentral:lncRNA from 1 species